rnacentral:tRNA from 1 species
GUGAGCGUAGCUCAACUGGUUAGAGCACCGGACUGUGGAUUCGGAGGUUGGGGGUUCGAAGCCCCUCGCUCACCCCA